AAUGCCGUUAGUUGGCGUUCUCAAAUUCAAUUGUUCGAACUUCGAGUUUCGAAGAUAUCUUUCACAAUGUUGCCAAUAUUAGUCAAAUAAAACGCACGCAAGAAUUUAACAAGGACCUACGCAGUUAUAUUAAAAUCAUUUUGCAUCUUUUCUAUUCAUCACCCGAACCGAAAAAUUCCUAUGUAAUGAAGGCCAAAUCCACAAAAAGUAUUUUUUAUAUAGAUAUUUUUUUUAUAAAAGGGACGUUAUUUCACAAAUCCAUCGAUAUAAAGGUACCAAUAAAUGUUGAUAAAACUGUAUAAAAGAUUUCAAGCUUUCAUAUGAUAUAUGGAUACUAUACAUAUGUGUAAAAAGGGCUAAGUUAUUAAAGCACUAUGUUGGCAGUAUUGAUCAUUCAACGACAGAGCCAUGUGCCGAUAAAUAUUAAAAACGAGUCUGUCGAUACUAAAAAUUCGGCGGCGGCUUAAAAUCGAUGUAAGCCAGUUAAAGGUAGUAUAACCAUCGGAUCGUUUUUGAUUUAAAAUUGGAGGUCCACACCACGCGUUCUCUGUCAAAAAAGUAGAAUCAAUAAGCCGUCUUAAGCUAAACAUUGUUUUUGCGGGGGCAGCUUUGAAAUUUUGUACGACCUUAAGCCCAAUAAGCAUUUUUUUAAGCCGAAUCGGCGCGGAACUGUGUUCAAAGCAGCUGUCAAAGUAGCGGCAUUGUUGCGAGAUGCCAUAUUGUGGUUAUAUUCGAAAAAAUGUGCAAUACUACCAGAUGUACGGCAAUUGAUUUGUUUAAUUAAAUAAUAGAACUCGAUAUCGGUUGGUGUCUUUGCUAAGCAAUGAGUUGCCAAUUAUAUUUUAAUGUAUUUGCCAGGGUUGUAUUUUUUUGCGUUGGAAACUGAACAUGUUAAUAUGAACAUCAAUGUAAUACUUGAAAGAGGUUCAUUAAUAAAGGUUUAAC